CCUACGGGAGGCAGCAGUGGGGAAUCUUGCGCAAUGGGCGAAAGCCUGACGCAGCAACGCCGCGUGCGGGAUGAAGGCCUUCGGGCUGUAAACCGCUUUCAGCAGGGAAGAAAUUGACGGUACCUGCAGAAGAAGCCCCGGCCAACUACGUGCCAGCAGCCGCGGUAACACGUAGGGGGCGAGCGUUGUCCGGAUUUAUUGGGCGUAAAGAGCUCGUAGGCGGUUCGGUAAGUCGGGUGUGAAACCUCCAGGCUCAACCUGGAGACGCCACCUGAUACUGUUGUGACUAGAGUCCGGUAGGGGAGUGUGGAACUCCUGGUGUAGCGGUGAAAUGCGCAGAUAUCAGGAAGAACACCAGCGGCGAAGGCGGCACUCUGGGCCGGUACUGACGCUGAGGAGCGAAAGCGUGGGUAGCAAACAGGAUUAGAUACCCUGGUAGUCCACGCCGUAAACGUUGGGCACUAGGUGUGGGUCUCAACCAACGAGAUCCGUGCCGCAGCACGCAUAAGUAGCCCGCCGNGGGAGACGGCGCAGACUAAACUAAUAGAUGACG
rnacentral:rRNA from 1 species